GAUGAACGCUGGCGGCGUGCUUAACACAUGCAAGUCGAACGGAAGUUUUAAAUGGAAGUUUUCGGAUGGAAAUUUAAAACUUUAGUGGCGGACGGGUGAGUAACGCGUGGGUAACCUGCCGUAUACAGGGGGAUAACACUUAGAAAUAGGUGCUAAUACCGCAUAAGCGCACAGCUUCGCAUGAAGCAGUGUGAAAAGCCUUGACGGUAUACGAUGGACCCGCGUCUGAUUAGCUAGUUGGUGAGGUAGAGGCUCACCAAGGCGACGAUCAGUAGCCGGCCUGAGAGGGUGACCGGCCACAUUGGGACUGAGACACGGCCCAAACUCCUACGGGAGGCAGCAGUGGGGAAUAUUGCACAAUGGGGGAAACCCUGAUGCAGCGACGCCGCGUGAGUGAAGAAGUAUUUCGGUAUGUAAAGCUCUAUCAGCAGGGAAGAAAAUGACGGUACCUGACUAAGAAGCCCCGGCUAACUACGUGCCAGCAGCCGCCGUAAAAC
rnacentral:rRNA from 1 species